UGCUCCUUGAAAUCUGACUGUGUGUA
rnacentral:misc_RNA from 1 species